GACGAACGCUGGCGGCGUGCCUAAUACAUGCAAGUAGAACGCUGAAGAGAGGAGCUUGCUCUUCUUGGAUGAGUUGCGAACGGGUGAGUAACGCGUAGGUAACCUGCCUGGUAGCGGGGGAUAACUAUUGGAAACGAUAGCUAAUACCGCAUAAAAUUGAUUAUUGCAUGAUAAUUAAUUGAAAGAUGCAACUGCAUCACUACCAGAUGGACCUGCGUUGUAUUAGCUAGUUGGUGAGGUAACGGCUCAC
rnacentral:rRNA from 1 species